AAAUGACUUUUUAUUACUAGUAUCUGCCAGAAACAAUUUUGUCAUCUAAUUGAGGCUGGACUAAGCACAGCACACACAAGGACACCAUUGAAAGAAAUGCACACACAAAACAGUGUUGUGCUUACGCUUUUCUGUCAUGGAGUAUUGUGUGCACUGUUCUUAGACAUGAAUCACAAACUCACCCACGCUUAAACCAUAAUAAUCGAGUUUGUUUUGUGUUCUUUCGACCACAGCCUUUCCCUUCUUUGGACUCUAUUGUCUCUGGACGUACAAGUCAACAGUGAAUCUGUCACCAUUUGAAUUAACCUCAAGGGCCAGAAUCAUCACAAGGACGACAGACCAAAGAGAGAUUAUUGUCUGCAAGCUGCCCACGCCAAGCCAUAAGAAGCUCAACGGUCACCAUAAUGACAACAGGUCCUCUUGAACUCCAUGCCUCACCAUGUACUGUUUGCAAGUUUACCAGAUGGAUGGGUGUGAGCCCUAUACAGAAAAGCAGCAGUCUACAGUUUUGUAUUAUACCGGGCAGGAACGCUGAGAUCUGACAUAAAAGCUUACUUGCUUUUAAGGCUGUUUUAUGACAAACGGAGAAGUAACAUGUUGUGUCUCGACUUUUCUAGUCCUUAAAGACGUGACGACCAGAACACAAACAAGAUAGCAAGCUUCUACUUGCUAAUUCACAAACUCUGUCAUCUGCUCUUUGCAAAUCAGCUUGGCAGGCAAUCCCACUAAGUAUCACAUGCUCCUUCACAACGAUAAUUUGUUACACGAAAAUGCAUAGAAUUUUAAAACGAUCAAAAGCGCUCAAUGCAAUUUUGAGGGAACGACGCCUCAUGGUGACUGAAUUUCUGGUAGUCAUUCUUAAGUUGUUCAAUAACAGUUAGCAUGAAUUCAAUAACUAGACUAGCCCUGCACAUUGAAAUAAGUUGCUAGAAAAGCCAAAGCUCACACAACUGGCCUACACCACAUUUUACGAACAUGACAUAUCACUAAAAACAAUUUUUGCUUCUCUUCAAACAGAGGAUGACAAACCUGAGCCCAGUGUGUUCUCAAAAAGUUUUUCAAAAGUACUCAGAGGAUAGUAAGUUCGGCUUAGCAUUCAGCCAAUCAACAGUGGAUGACCAAAAGAAGCCUCAGCGUGGGAACUUGUCUUCGUCACAGUCCUCACAAAUAUGUUUGCGUGUUGAAAUGUUGGCUCAAGGCUGAGGCUUCCCUUGUUUGCCUCUGUUACUCAACUGAAGUGUUCAUCUCCUUGCAACCUCUUUUGUCUUGUCUGAAUAUAUAAACCGAGAUUUUUUUUUUCAACAUGAAAGCAUAAAUUGCAUUUUGCAUGGAUCUGCGAGCAUUAAUUGAGCUUGCUUAUAUGUUUAUUUAGUCUCCUUGUUGCAUUCGGAGAGUCUUUGCAGAAGUCCCUGAAAGCACUGUUGUCUCUGUUACGUUGCUUGUUUUUCUACGAGUACUCCACUUGUGUCAAAGCCUUUACUGCUGCACCUGAACACUAAAUGUGCAGCAGAAUAUCAAGAGCAGACAAUACCUACUGGACAAUUUAGCAUAACAUUGUUUUGUUUUGUUUUUCCUACACUACGUGCAUCUCGCCAAUGCGUUAUGAAAAGAAUGGGACAUUGCAGCUCAAGCUUAUCUUGCUGACACUACAUCUUUGCCGAGCACUUUUUAUGUUUACUUUUUUUAAUACAGCUGAAAUCGUCAAAUGCAGGCGAUAUAAGUACAGUGUGAAACACAGCAAGCAGCAAUAUACUCAACUACAGUAUGAGGGUAGCCCAGCAUGAAUAUCAUAGUCUGAAGCUUGGCUCUCCCUGCUUUAAACAGCAUGCAGAACACUAUGAGAGAAAUUUGCUGGAUUUCAACUUUCAAUUCUAUUUUAAAUAAAUGGUUAUCUGUGUUUCUUUAUGUAGCAAACUCAGUGUGUGACAGCAUCAAGUUCAGCUGACCUGUAUGAAAAUUGUGGGCAUGUACUGCUUCAUUCACCAUUGACAAUAAACGAUGUAAGCUUA